rnacentral:rRNA from 1 species
GGUUUGGGGUUAGUCCGUACGAGCGCACCCUUGUCCUUAGUUACCAGCACGUUAAGGUGGGCACUCUAAGGAGACUGCCGGUGACAAACCGGAGGAAGGUGGGGAUGACGUCAAGUCAUCAUGGCCCUUACGGCCUGGGCUACACACGUGCUACAAUGGUCGGUACAAAGGGUUGCCAAGCCGCGAGGUGGAGCUAAUCCCAUAAAACCGAUCGUAGUCCGGAUCGCAGUCUGCAACUCGACUGCGUGAAGUCGGAAUCGCUAGUAAUCGUGAAUCAGAAUGUCACGGUGAAUACGUUCCCGGGCCUUGUACACACCGCCCGUGGGGCGGGGGCGGCGGGCCGGGCGCGGGGCGCGGGCGGGCGA